GAUGAACGCUGGCGGCGUGCCUAAUACAUGCAAGUCGAGCGAACAGACGAGGAGCUUGCUCCUCUGACGUUAGCGGCGGACGGGUGAGUAACACGUGGAUAACCUACCUAUAAGACUGGGAUAACUUCGGGAAACCUGAGCUAAUACCGGAUAAUAUAUUGAACCGCAUGGUUCAAUAGUGAAAGACGGUUUUGCUGUCACUUAUAGAUGGUUCCGCGCCGCAUUAGCUAGUUGGUAAGGUAACGGCUUACCAAGGCAACGAUGCGUAGCCGACCUGAGAGGGUGAUCGGCCACACUGGAACUGAGACACGGUCCAGACUCCUACGGGAGGCAGCAGUAGGGAAUAUUGCGCAAUGGGCGAAAGCCUGACGGAGCAACGCCGCGUGAGUGAUGAAGGUCUUCGGAUCGUAAAACUCUGUUAUUAGGGAAGAACAAAUGUGUAAGUAACUAUGCACGUCUUGACGGUACCUAAUCAGAAAGCCACGGCUAACUACGUG
rnacentral:rRNA from 1 species